UCCAGUUAAUCACCGGCAGUCUCUCUAGAGUGCCCACCAUGACGUGAUGGCAACUAAAGACAAAGGUUGCGCUCGUUGCGGGACUUAACCCAACACUUCACAGCACGAGCUGACGACAGCCAUGCAGCACCUGUGUAAUUGUCCCUUGCGGGAAAAUGUACUUUCAUACACGGUCAACUACAUGUCAAACCUGGGUAAGGUUCUUCGCGUAGCCUCGAAUUAAACCACAUGCUCCACCGCUUGUGCGGGUCCCCGUCAAUUUCUUUGAGUUUCAGUCUUGCGACCGUACUCCCCAGGUGGUGGAUUUAAUGCGUUAGCGGCGGCGCUGGAGGGAUCAACACCCCCAACACCUAAUCCACAUCGUUUACGGCAAGGACUAC
rnacentral:misc_RNA from 1 species